AACGAACGCUGGCGGCAGGCUUAACACAUGCAAGUCGAGCGCCCCGCAAGGGGAGCGGCAGACGGGUGAGUAACGCGUGGGAAUCUACCCAUCUCUACGGAAUAACGCAUGGAAACGUGUGCUAAUACCGUAUACGUCCUUCGGGAGAAAGAUUUAUCGGAGAUGGAUGAGCCCGCGUUGGAUUAGCUAGUUGGUGGGGUAAAGGCCUACCAAGGCGACGAUCCAUAGCUAGUCUGAGAGGAUGAUCGGCCACACUGGGACUGAGACACGGCCCAGACUCCUACGGGAGGCAGCAGUGGGGAAUAUUGGACAAUGGGCGCAAGCCUGAUCCAGCCAUGCCGCGUGAGUGAUGAAGGCCCUAGGGUUGUAAAGCUCUUUCACCGGUGAAGAUAAUGACGGUAACCGGAGAAGAAGCCCCGGCUAACUUCGUGCCAGCAGCCGCCGUAACAC
rnacentral:rRNA from 1 species